rfam:Cyberlindnera jadinii strain CBS1600 genome assembly, contig: CJ4
GCCCUUAUAGCUUAAUCUGGUAAAGCAGUAGAGUGAAGUUCUAUAUAUAUAAGUUCAAUUCUUUUUGGGGGCA